AAGCUGUGCAUUUGUUUAGCUAAUAAAUUAUAAAAACUGUGUACAACAGUUGUGUACAAUUGUUUAAUUAUGUCAUCCUGGUUAGGGUUGGCCUGAUUGACGGUGCCAUCGUCCAUCGCCGAUGGCUGAUAGACAUCACGAUGCUGCGCCGGAAACAGCGUCAUCAGCUCCAGUAUCUCGCCCGUGCAUCUGUUGUCAUGCGACAGAGAAGUCACGUUCUAUAGAGAGUUUCUACAGACAGUUGUGAACGUGCUGACAGCUGGUUGCCCAGGCUAUGGAUUAAAGGUAAUACUGUUGGCCAGCAGAGCCCUGCUCACCCUGACGGCCCACCGCUGCUGUCUGACAACAUCUCAAAGAUGCUAUAAACUGCAGGACUAGAUGGCCACCGCAAGGUUACUAGAGAUUACAGCAGCUCCAGACUGAAUCCAAACUCACUCGUGAAGACUUCACAUGACGCCAACGCUCACAAAGACUACAGACGACAACUGUACAUGAACACACAAGAUCUUAUCCUUAUUUUGCCUAUAAGGGUAAAUUUGGUGAUUUUCAAACUGCUUUAUUGUAACGUCUCUUAUAUCUGUAAAUGAACAAUAUUUACUCUCUGAGUUAUGUGGACCUACAUGUCCCCUUUUAUUUGUAAGCAGCAAAAUGAAAUGACGAGUUUUGACGAAAUGACACAAUGCAGCAUCUAAAUAAAAACAUGCUGUUUUGUAUUAGUUUUGCUGGCAAAUAAACGGUAUCUAAGAGAAAGAAUAAACAUUGUUCUUUUACAAAUGCUACCAACAAUAUAACAAUACAAAAU